AUGCUGAAGUGCAAACCGUCGACUACACCCAUGUCUACCACUGAUAAGCUCAAUGCUGUUGAUGGUGUGCUUCUUUCUUCUUCUGAUGCGACAGAGUACAGGAGUAUUGUUGGUGGGCUCCAGUACUUGACGAUCACGCGACCAGACAUUUCCUAUGCUGUUAACCGAGUCUGCCAGUAUCUGCAGUCACCCCGUGACACUCAUUGGUCUGCUGUUAAGCGGAUUUUGCGCUAUAUUCGUUUCACGGUGGCUCAUGGUUUGCAUAUUCGACCGUCUGACUCUGGUUGUCUUUCAGCAUAUUCUGAUGCAGACUGGGCUGGCAAUCCGGAUGACAGGCGAUCCACGGGGGGUUAUGCUGUCUUCUUUGGCUCUAACCUGAUUGCCUGGAGUGCUCGGAAACAGGCUAUUGUCUCGCGUAGCAGUACUGAGGCUGAGUAUAAGGCUGUGGCCAAUGCCACAUCAGAGAUCAUCUGGGUACAGUCCUUGCUUCAGGAGUUAAGUAUACCCCAAUCACAGCCUCCUGUUCUUUGGUGUGAUAACAUCGGUGCUACAUACCUUUCUGCAAAUCCGGUAUUCCAUGCCCGAACGAAACACAUUGAAGUUGACUAUCACUUUGUGCGUGAACAUGUCUCUCAGAAGCAACUACAGAUCAAGUUUAUUUCUUCCAAGGAUCAACUUGCUGACAUCUUCAUCAAGCCAUUGCCUUUGCCACAGUUUGAGACUUGCAGGCGCAAUCUUACCCUUCUAGAUUCAUUAGAAAGUGGCUAA
rnacentral:rRNA from 1 species